rnacentral:misc_RNA from 1 species
GGAAAGUUUUUUUUUUCUCUCAUUACAACGGGAAUAAUAACGUCGAGUUUUUUGUCUUUUUUUUGUGUUCUUUGAGAACUAAAAAAUUUAUAUACAUCUACAGCUUGUUAUAUUUAAUUAUGAGAUCAUACGACUAAUUAAUUGUCACUGCACUGCCGGCUUCCCUAGGCAGGAAGAAGCACAAAAUAGCACACGCUGUAAAAAUAAAAAAAUCACAGAUGAAAAUUCAGUUCUUCGAUCGGAC